UACACACGAAAUAUAGUAUCCUUCUGUCAUGCGACAUUUAUUUUAUUGAUUUUACGAAUUUCGAUGGGCGCAGCAAGAAAAUUGAUAUAUAAUAACUCUUGUUCAUUGACUUCAUGACAAUUGAUUCCCAAUAAAAUAUGUGUAUUAUAACAAAAAUAAUUGCAUUUAAAUAAUCUCAUCAAUGUCUAUUGUAUCUGAAAGAUUAUAUUGGAAACAUAAUUUUUAUUACACGUUGCAAACAUAACACAGUUACAAAUUAAAUUUCUUCCAUCGUAAUAUUUCACGAAGAGAUUGUCAUCAAAAUUUCACAUUGCAUAUGAGAAGAUGUACAAGAGAAAGUUCAGUGAUAUGAAAAAUAAAAUGAAUAUGACUAUCUAUAUAGAGUUAUAACAAUUGAUUUUGCUUUUACUUGCAAUGUUUUUAAACAUUGCCCGACGAAGAAAUGCAAAACAACGGUAUAUUUAUUCUUAGUUGCAAAACUACAACGGGAUAUGGGCGUUGAACUUGUCCAUUGGUUAAGAAUAGACAUUGCGUCGCAGAAUUUCUAUUCGGGAGUUACCUGAAGAAUAUUGAUUUUCAAUGUAAUUACGUAAGUGGCCAUUUUCCGUUUCUGAGAGGAAAUCAAUAUCGUCAUAAGAAUCAACAGAACAUUGCCAAAAAUUUUCAGAACAAUAUGGUAUAAAGAAGCGUUAAGGAAAGAUGAGAGCCUUGGUGAGAGAGCGCCUAUGCCACUCGACCGUUCACUUUUUCUAAAAUUGGUCACAGACAGCCGGAUCUUGCCUAAGGAAAGCAGUAAAUCGCGACGAUCCUCUCUUCUGGAAGAGAUGUGCAGGGUGGGGCACGGUACAUUGCCAGAGAAAAUAAAUAACUCAUCGAAAAAAAAUGUUCAAGAGAGAAUUUGGAAAGAGUGUUAACUUAUUCGAUAAAUAUAGCUGCGAUCAUGAAAACUGAUCUUCAAUAUUAACAUAAUCGAUAUCGGUAUUACUGGGUACCGGACGAUGAUGUAACAGAUCGACCACGCGCUUAUUGUCCUUGCAUUUGUAGCAAUCCUGUUCGCCAAAUAUGAAUAUUCCUUCUAUAAUAUGAAUAUGAUGAUGACUGAUCAAGAAUGGAUAUCUACAAGGACAAAGGAAACUAAUUUAGGCUAAGGAUUAUUUUUUAAUAGAAUAAACACUUGUAUUAGUUGUAUAUACUUGCUUAGAUAAUAUAUAGAGUGCCUAUAACGUGUAUUUCUGAGAACAAAUAAAUCACAUAUAAUUUACAAAAAGGAA